UUUAAUUGCAGUUGUAGGUUUUAGUGUUUAAUGUUUGUCCGUCUUAUUUAAAUUAUUUUAUAAUUACUAUUUAUAUUGUUAUUAGAUGAUAAAAUAUGAAUAUUACUCAUGCAUGAAUCAAGUUUUUAAUUUUUUUUAUAAUUUAUUUAAAUAAGAUAGACGGUUAAACGUUUAGUACAGAAACCCACGACUGUACUAAAA
rnacentral:pre_miRNA from 1 species